rnacentral:rRNA from 1 species
AGAGUUUGAUCAUGGCUCAGGACGAACGCUGGCGGUAUGCCUAACACAUGCAAGUCGAACGGAGAGUUUUCACCGUCGAAGCUUGAGGUGCUUGCACCGAGAGUGGAGACACCGAAAAAUCUUAGUGGCGGACGGGUGAGUAACGCGUGAGCAACCUGGCUUUAAGAGGGGGACAACACUGAGAAAUCAGUGCUAAUACCGCAUAAGACUCAAAUUUCGCAUGGAGAAAGAGUUAAAGGAGAAAUCCGCUUAAAGAUGGGCUCGCGUCCCAUUAGCUGGUUGGUGAGGUAACGGCUCACCAAGGCGACGAUGGGUAGCCGGACUGAGAGGUUGAACGGCCACACUGGGACUGAGACACGGCCCAGACUCCUACGGGAGGCAGCAGUGGGGAAUAUUGGGCAAUGGGCGAAAGCCUGACCCAGCAAUGCCGCGUGAAUGAAGAAGGUCUUAGGAUUGUAAAAUUCUGUCCUGUGGGAAGAAACAAAUGACGGUACCACAGGAGGAAGCCCCGGCUAACUACGUGCCAGCAGCCGCGGUAAUACGUAGGGGGCGAGCGUUGUCCGGAAUUACUGGGCGUAAAGAGAGCGUAGGCGGCACUGCAAGUCUCAUGUGAAAUACCCGGGCUCAACUCGGGGGUUGCAUGGGAAACUGUAGAGCUUGAGUACGGGAGAGGCAAGCGGAAUUCCUAGUGUAGCGGUGAAAUGCAUAGAUAUUAGGAGGAACACCAGUGGCGAAGGCGGCUUGCUGGACCGAAACUGACGCUGAGGCUCGAAAGCGUGGGGAGCAAACAGGAUUAGAUACCCUGGUAGUCCACGCCGUAAACGAUGGAUACUAGGUGUAGGGCCGAGAAUGGUUCUGUGCCGCAGUAAACACAAUAAGUAUCCCGCCUGGGGAGUACGGCCGCAAGGUUGAAACUCAAAGGAAUUGACGGGGGCCCGCACAAGCAGCGGAGCAUGUGGUUUAAUUCGAAGCAACGCGAAGAACCUUACCAAGGCUUGACAUCCUGCUAAAGCUACAGAGAUGUAGUGUCCUACUUGUAGGGAGCAGAGACAGGUGGUGCAUGGUUGUCGUCAGCUCGUGUCGUGAGAUGUUGGGUUAAGUCCCGCAACGAGCGCAACCCUUGUUCUUAGUUACCAGCGAGUAAAGUCGGGGACUCUAGGAAGACUGCCGGGGACAACUCGGAGGAAGGUGGGGACGACGUCAAAUCAUCAUGCCCCUUAUGUCUUGGGCUACACACGUGCUACAAUGGCCGCAACAAAGAGAGGCGAACCUGUGAGGGGGAGCGGAACUCAAAAAAGCGGUCUCAGUUCGGAUUGUGGGCUGCAACCCGCCCACAUGAAGUUGGAGUUGCUAGUAAUCGUGAAUCAGCAUGUCACGGUGAAUGCGUUCCCGGGCCUUGUACACACCGCCCGUCACACCAUGGGAGUUGGUGGCACCCGAAGCCGGUGAGUUAACCUUUUAGGAGACAGCCGUCUAAGGUGAAAUCAAUGACUGGGGUGAAGUCGUAACAAGGUAGCGUA